rnacentral:rRNA from 1 species
AUUCCCCUAGUAACUGCGAGGAAGCGGGAAAAGCUCAAAUUUAAAAUCUGGCAGUGGUUCACUGCCCGAGUUGUAAUCUAGAGAAGUGUUGCUCACACUGGACCAUGUAUAAGUCUUCUGGAAUGAAGCGUCAUAGAGGGUGAGAAUCCCGUCUUUGACAUGGACUCCCAGUGUAUUUGUAGCAUGCUCUCAAAGAGUCGAGUUGUUUGGGAAUGCAGCUCUAAAUGGGUGGUAACCUCCAUCUAAAGCUAAAUAUUGGCGAGAGACCGAUAGUGAACAAGUACCGUGAGG